CUUAUCGAGAGCGGUGGAGGGAACGGCCCUGUGAAACCCGGCAACCUGCGCGAAAAAGUCGCGUAAGGUGCCAAAUCCGGCGUAAGAACACGAAAGAUGAGG
rnacentral:ncRNA from 1 species